rnacentral:lncRNA from 1 species
AAAGAUUCUAAGAGGUGGAACAGUGUUACAAUGGACAGAGGAAGCUGACGUUUCCUCAGACAUUCUGUCUCACUCGUAAUUCUCUAUUUUUUUUUACCAUUUCCUCUGUCAUUUCACCUCACAAGUCAUUACCUCUCUUUAUCUAUUUCUUAAUUUUUGUUCUUCUAAAGUCUGUAUUCUUGUAACUCACUCUUACCAUCUCCGUGCACGUGUAUUUAUUUACUCCGUUAGAUAUUUCUACUCUGCAAUGCAACAUAAUGAACAUACAGCCAACACCUACUAGGCUAACUACGAGCAACAUAAUGAACAUAACCAACACCUACAACUAAUUUUCAAUUCCGGUUCGGUUCAACUAUUAUACCGAAGCCAGUUGUAUAUACAUAUAUAUUUUGUGUGUGUCAUGGGUAUUUGGGAAAGGUGAAAAUGAAAAUGUGUGUAGGGUUUGGUGGUUGGAGUCUCGAUAAAAUCUAGCUUCGACUAGGGAUCACAUGUUUUUGGUCAGACCAUCUUAGAUCUUAUAUUAUUUUAAUCAUUUACGUACAUAUCGAUCAGUUUUGCUAAUCAACCCACUAUUGCAGCAAAAUUACAAUCCAAAUAUAUAAAUUUUCGAAGUAAUUAAUACAAGAUUUUUUUUUACUAAAUUAAGUAUUUUAUGAAAGUCGUAUUUAGUGCCCACACAAAGAACUUUGGAGAGAAAGAGAGAGAGAAGGAAAUGUUUACAGAGAGGCUUCUCUCAGACGAAACCAAUAAAGAACAAAAUACAAAGCUGAGAAGAAUCCAUAAAAGGUGAAAAAAAAAGCAAGAAGAGCAAGGAAAUAUGUAUUCCUAUCUCACCUUCCGCUUCACAUCAUUCUUCUUCAUCUUCUUCACCAGCUGUAUUCUGUAUAUACCAAAAUCCACUCCUCUCUCUCCCUCUCUCGUUUUCACUUGAUCCUGUCCUUAAUGUUUUAUCUGAUUUUUUGUUCUUCUCUUGAAUUUUUGUUGAGUAGAAGAAAGUAAUGGAAGAUACUGAGUAUUACUGCAACAAUGGUGGGGUUUCAAGAAGGGCAUUUUCGUAAGAGAAGAAGAAAAAUUGAGUUUUAUAACUCUUCAAUGUCUUGUAUCAGAUUCAUUCGUUAUUAUGUGUCUUUAAUUUGGUCCUUUAAGAUGAAAAAAACAAAAAUAGAGUCACGUUUUCGGAAGUAGUGAUAUUGGCGGAAUGGCUCAAUCUCCUUGUCACAAUUAUCACUUUCUUUUCUUUUUUUUUCAAUUAUCACUUUCACUCUUCUUUUCUUCUUCAUUUAUUAAACAAAUCACUUGUUUUUGC